ACGGGCGUAGCUCAAUUGGCAGAGCACCGGAUUCCAAAUCCGGCGGUUGGGGGUUCAAAUCCCUCCGCCCGUGCC
rnacentral:tRNA from 1 species